GCUGUCUUUUCCCGCGCCCACCUUCUCUCUCCCCUCUCGCCUGCGCGCUCCGACCCGCUCGCUCUCCAGCCAUCGCCAGGAGCAGUGUGUGUUCACUUGGGGCCUGUAUUUGGAAUAAGAAAACAUUGCUGUUUCUGACUGGAGAGAAGGAAGAUAAAACUCAUCUGGAUUUCCUAAGGAAUUUUAUCUGGAUGCUUUGUUACCGAGGCUUUUGAAUUCAUCAGCCGGGGUAUAUAUCCUUUCAGAUCAAUGACCAGGAAGGAGAGGGGAUGGGGAAAGGAUGGUAUAGGAAGAGUAUUGGGACGUAGCUGUUGUGCUUGCUUACCUCUCCCUACCAGCAGCCUCGGGGCUCUCAGAGCUCUGCUCUAAUUAGGCCUCAGUCAUUUCACCCUCUUACUUCACGGCUGAUACUACAGGGAAGUUGUCGGCAUACCAGGGCAUGCUAGCAUUUCUUACUGACACCAUGAGGGGUAAAUUUGGUCUUUGUUACAGAAUAUGUGUGCGGAUAUGUUGUAGAAUAAGUAUGGUGGUUUUGUGGUCAGACAACUGUGUGAGAGGCUGCUGCAAUGUACUGUACUUAUACAAGUGAUUUUGGUUUUAAAGGAAGGAGGAUAUACUAUAAUUGAUGGACUACUGUUUUUGAAUGUUUGCAUAGGUAUUUGUAUGAUACAUUUAUUGUUAGUUUAGGAACUGAUGAUUUUGCAAAUUGUUUAUUAGGCAAUAUGUAUUCUGCUGAAACCACAUAAUCGCUUUAAUUAAACCUUACAACGAUUAACCU